rnacentral:lncRNA from 1 species
GCGGCCGCUGGGGCAGUCUGGGACUGGCCUGAGGUUGAAAAUCUCCAGUCCAGCCAGAGUGCUUGGCUCCUCCAACGGCUCUGUGGGCUCUGGGGUGCCCCUGGCACAGGCUGUGCCAUCGCUGGGGCUCCCCUCCUGAGCGCUGCCACCCAGGGCUGUGUCUGGGGACAACGCUGUGCUGCUUGUGCUGCCUGGAGUGCUUGGGCAAGGCUUGGAGGAACAGGAGCAUGGGUAAACCUCGGGGACAUCUCUUGGUCAAUUCAGUCCCUGGAAUGGUCUGGGAACCCCCUUUGCUGGCUGCAUGGGCGCAAGCCCCGCGGUUCCCCCGAGGUGGAGAAGUUUUGCUGUCAGCACCUCGUGCUUUGUGGCCACGCUGGGAGUGGUUUUGGGCCGUGGCUGACGCGUUUCGGUGUCCGUGUGGGGCUGUGCAUCCCCAGCUGGCGGUGGUCCCGCUGUUGGUGUGGAGAGGGAAGCCCAGGGCUCAGCUGGUGCUGUGCUCUGGAGCAUCUGGAGGUGCAGAGAGUGACUUUUGUAUUUUUUAUUUUUUGCCAGAUUCCCCAUGUAAGGGAGCAAGAACUGGAUUUCAGCUCCCUCUCCCCCAAGAGGGGCUGCGCUCGCCGGCACGGCAGCAUGCCCCAGGCUGCUUCCGUUCUUGGAAAUCAAAACUGCAGCCGGCCACAACUGAGGCGAGGCGAUAUUUGGGUUAUUUGCCGCAUCGUUUGCUUAACCGCUGCUAACAGCUCUCGGGCAGAGGCACCCCAGCUGCCAGCCCCCUGUCAGAGUUUGGCUGGGGCUCCGCAUGGGCGCAGGUCCACCUGGCACCGGCGUCGCGCCCUGUCCCCGGGGACCGAGGAUGUUUUGGGGUGCCCCCGGCCGUGCCCGUGCCGCAGGAGGUCGCUCUGCCACCGUGCUUCGGUGUCGCCGGGCCCCGCAGGGCCACAGCUGUUCCCGCUGCGUGGAGCCAGGGUACACUGUGUUCGCCCAGAGUGCUCUGUUAAACAAAAUGUUUAUGCAUGCCUCUGCUCCGACUAA